CAGUCGACGGGGAUACGUUUUCGGAUGUAUUCUAGUGGCGCACGGGUGAGUAACGCGUGAGCGACCUGACCCAAAGAGGGGGAUAACAUCGAGAAAUCGAUGCUAAUACCGCAUAAGACCACGGUAUCGCAUGGUACAGAGGUCAAAGGAGCAAUCCGCUUUGGGAGGGGCUCGCGUCCCAUUAGAUAGUAGGCGGGGUAACGGCCCACCUAGUCAACGAUGGGUAGCCGAGCUGAGAGGCUGAUCGGCCACACUGGAACUGAGACACGGCCCAGACUCCUACGGGAGGCAGCAGUGGGGAAUAUUGGGCAAUGGGCGAAAGCCUGACCCAGCAACGCCGCGUGAGGGAAGAAGGUUUUCGGAUUGUAAACCUCUGUCGCAGAUGACGAAGGAAGUGACGGUAAUCUGUGAGGAAGCCCCGGCUAACUACGUGCCAGCAGCCGCGGUAAUACGUAGGGGGCGAGCGUUGUCCGGAAUUACUGGGCGUAAAGGGUGCGUAGGCGGUUGAUUAAGUUGGAUGUGAAAUACCCGGGCUUAACCUGGGGGGUGCAUUCAAAACUGGUCAACUAGAGUUCAGGAGAGGGAAGCGGAAUUCCUAGUGUAGCGGUGAAAUGCGUAGAUAUUAGGAGGAACACCAGUGGCGAAGGCGGCUUUCUGGACUGACACUGACGCUGAGGCACGAAAGCGUGGGGAGCAAACAGGAUUAGAUACCCUGGUAGUCCACGCGGUAAACGAUGAAUACUAGGUGUAGGGGGUAUCAACUCCCUCUGUGCCGCAGCAAACGCAAUAAGUAUUCCGCCUGGGGAGUACGGCCGCAAGGUUGAAACUCAAAGGAAUUGACGGGGGCCCGCACAAGCAGCGGAGCAUGUGGUUUAAUUCGACGCAACGCGAAGAACCUUACCAAGGCUUGACAUCCUGCUAAAGCCAUAGAGAUAUGGUGUCCCUUCGGGGGAGCAGAGACAGGUGGUGCAUGGUUGUCGUCAGCUCGUGUCGUGAGAUGUUGGGUUAAAGUCCCGCACGAGCGCAACCCCUGU
rnacentral:rRNA from 1 species